CAAUGGUCCAGUAAUGCCAGCCUUUGGACACCAAGCCUGCUACCUCCAAGUGACAGCCAACUGACCAGGAUUUUGUAAGGUCCUUCCCCUUAUAGGAAGGACUCCCUCCAUGCUGCACCAUCCCCCCUUUCAGGGCACUCCUGACCCAAGGGUGGGUAGGGCACGUCCAU